CGCCAUGUUGGCCAGGCUGGUCUCGAACUCCUGACCUCAAGUGAUCCGCCUGCCUUGGCCUCCCAAAGUGCUAGGAUUACAGACGUGAGCCACCACGCCCGGCUGGUAUAGAUAUUUAAAAAAUAAGAAAGUUAGUUUCUGGGUCACAGGAAACUCAUGUUUAUGUUACCUAACAAAGGCCUGAAGUGGAAAUACUUCAUGUUGUUGAGCAAACUGAGAGGUUGCUGGCAGAGGUGGUUGGGGCUAUGUGCCUGGAGUGAAGAUUCUGCCCAUUGGUCAAGAGACCUCCCUCUCAGAUGCUGGCUCUGCCCCUGCCUUUGGGGGUCGACCCUUGUACU
rnacentral:antisense_RNA from 1 species